CGGUAAAAGAUGAGCCAGUGCGUUCCCCAUUAGCUAGAUGGUAGGUAACGGNUUACCAUGGCGACGGAGUGGGUAGGGGUCCCUGGGGAGGGAGAUCCCCCCACACUGGUACUGAGACACGGACCAGACUCCUACGGGAGGCAGCAGUGAGGAAUAUUCGGGACAAAUGGGCGGCAAGCCUGAUCCCGAGCCAUGCCCGCGGUGCAGGAUGACGGUCCUAUGGAUUGUAAACUGCUUUUGUACAGGAAGAAACCACUCCCUUCGUGAGGGUAGGCUUGACGGUUACUGUAAGAAUAAGGAUCGGCUAACCUUCCGUUAGC
rnacentral:rRNA from 1 species